UACGUAGGGUGCAAGCGUUGUCCGGAAUUAUUGGGCGUAAAGAGCUCGUAGGCGGUUUUGUUGCGUCGGCUGUGAAAUCCCCGAGGCUCAACCUCGGGUCUGCAGUCGAUACGAGCAAACUAGAGUGUUGCAGGGGGAGACUGGAAUUCCUGGUGUAGCGGUGAAAUGCGCAGAUAUCAGGAGGAACACCGGUGGCGAAGGCGGGGUCUCUGGGCAACAACUGACGCUGGAGGAGCGAAAGCGUGGGGAGCGAACAGG
rnacentral:rRNA from 1 species